rnacentral:lncRNA from 1 species
UCAUCGGGCGGCUCACCUCGCUGACGGGGUUGAACCUCAGCGACAAUCGGCUGACGAGCGUGCCGGCGGAGAUCGGGCGGCUCACCUCGCUGACGGGGUUGGGCCUUGACGGCAACAAGCUGACGAGCGUGCCGGCGGAGAUCGGGCGGCUCACCUCGCUGACGGUGUUGCGCCUUGACGGCAAUCGGCUGACGAGCGUGCCGGCGGAGAUCGGGCGGCUCACCUCGCUCACGUAUUUGCGCCUCUCUGGCAACAAGCUGACGAGCGUGCCGGCGGAGAUCGGGCGGCUCACCUCGCUGACGGGGUUGGGCCUUGACGGCAACAAGCUGACGAGCGUGCCGGCGGAGAUCGGGCGGCUCACCUCGCUGACGGUGUUGCGCCUUGACGGCAAUCGGCUGACGAGCGUGCCGGCGGAGAUUGGGCAGCUUACGGCGCUGGAGGGGUUGUUCCUUGACGGCAACAAGCUGACGAGCGUGCCGGCGGAGAUCGGGCGGCUCACGUCGCUGCACGCGUUGUUCCUCUCUGACAACAAGCUGACGAGCGUGCCGGCGGAGAUUGGGCGGCUCAC